AAGCGUUGUUCGGAAUUACUGGGCGUAAAGGGCUCGUAGGCGGCCAACUAAGUCGGACGUGAAAUCCCCAGGCUCAACCUGGGAACUGCGUCUGAUACUGGAUGGCUUGAAUCCGGGAGAGGGAUGUAGAAUUCCAGGUGUAGCGGUGAAAUGCGUAGAUAUCUGGAGGAAUACCGGUGGCGAAGGCGGCAUCCUGGACCAUUACUGACGCUGAGGCACGAAAGCCAGGGGAGCAAACGGG
rnacentral:rRNA from 1 species